rnacentral:tRNA from 2 species
AUUAGAGAAACAGGACUUGAACCUGUACCAGAGAACUCAAAAUCCUCCGUACUCCCGCUAUACUAUUCUCU